rnacentral:rRNA from 1 species
UGGAGGAAAGUAGGGGAUCGUAAGACCUUGCGCUUUUGGAGCGGCCGAUGUCUGAUUAGCUAGUUGGUGGGGUAAUGGCCUACCAAAGCUUCGAUCAGUAGCUGGUCUGAGAGGACGGCCAGCCACACUGGGACUGAGACACGGCCCAGACUCCUACGGGAGGCAGCAGUGGGGAAUUUUGGACAAUGGGCGAUAGCCUGAUCCAGCAAUGCCGCGUGAGUGAAGAAGGCCUUCGGGUUGUAAAGCUCUUUCAGUCGAGAAGAAAAGGUUGUGACUAAUAAUCACAAUUUAUGACGGUAUCGACAGAAGAAGCACCGGCUAACUACGUGCCAGCAGCCGCGGUAAUACGUAGGGUGCAAGCGUUAAUCGGAAUUACUGGGCGUAAAGGGUGCGCAGGCGGCCUUGUAAGUCAGAUGUGA